rnacentral:rRNA from 1 species
AUCCGCCAGAAAAUUACGGGCGAAAGCCUAAAACUCAAAAGACUUGACGGUGUCCCAACCCCCCUAGAGGAGCCUGUUCCAUAAUCGACAACCCCCGAUACACCUAACCACCCCUGGACCUUAAACCAGCCUAUAUACCGCCGUCGAACAGCCUACCUUUUAAAGACCAUAAGUAAGCCAAAUAGUAANACACUAACAAGUCAGGUCAAGGUGUAGCUUAUGGGGUGGAGGAAAUGGGCUACAUUAUUU